rnacentral:misc_RNA from 1 species
CGAUCAUAUCCUACAGAACAAGAAAAACGAUUUUCAACAUCCUGUAACGCGAGUGUUCCUUGUGAAGCACAACAUUGUCAAAAGAAUUUGAUACGAUAUGAUCCACUUGCUUAUGGAAAUCCCGAAAAAAUUGGAGCGCAGGCGAGUUUCUUCGGGUUGAUGCGACCAAUAAAAGUAUCGCGUAAACACGGCCUUACACGGUUGCGCGAUAUUUUGCAUUGGCUGUUUUACGACUGGCACCGAUGUAAGUAUAAACAUCGAUAAAACGUCGAUAAAACGUCGCGGCGU